rnacentral:rRNA from 1 species
GGUGAACGCUGGCGGCAGGCCUAACACAUGCAAGUCGAGGGGCAGCAUAAAAUAAACUUGUUUAUUUGGUGGCGACCGGCGCACGGGUGCGUAACGCGUAUGCAACCUACCUUACACAGGGGGAUAGCCCGGAGAAAUUCGGAUUAAUACCCCCUAGCACUAUCGGAUGGCAUCAUUUGAUAUUUAAAGCUUUGGCGGUGUAAGAUGGGCAUGCGUCCUAUUAGCUAGUUGGUGAGGUAACGGCUCACCAAGGCUACGAUAGGUAGGGGGCCUGAGAGGGUGGUCCCCCACACUGGUACUGAGACACGGACCAGACUCCUACGGGAGGCAGCAGUGAGGAAUAUUGGUCAAUGGGCGCAAGCCUGAACCAGCCAUGCCGCGUGAAGGAUGAAGGUUCUAUGGAUUGUAAACUUCUUUUAUUUGGGAAUAAACCCCUUUACGUGUAGAGGGCUGAAGGUACCAAAUGAAUAAGCACCGGCUAACUCCGUGCCAGCCGCCGCCGUAAAAC